rnacentral:rRNA from 1 species
ACAGAGGACGCCCUCUUUUUUCUUCCUCCAUUUUCUUAAAGCGCGUGUAGGCGUCUUAGAAAGUGUCGUGUGAAAUCCCGCGGCUCAACCGCGGAACUGCACGGCAAACUACUUGGCUUGAGGUCGGUAGAGGUGCCUGGAACUCUAGGUGGAGCGGUGAAAUGCGUAGAUAUCUAGAGGAACGCCAGAAGCGAAAGCGGGGCACUGGGCCGAUUCUGACGCUGAGACGCGAAAGCGUGAGGAGCAAACAG